rnacentral:tRNA from 1 species
GGGCGGAUGGCGAAACUGGAAAACGCGGUAGCCUUAGGAGCUACUGGGGAAACCCUUAGAGGUUCGAGUCCUCUUCCGCCCA